rnacentral:rRNA from 1 species
GACAGAGGAGCCAAGCGUUGUCCGGAGUGACUGGGCGUAAAGCGCACGCAGGUGGUUCUGCGCGUGGGGUGUGAAAGCUCUCGGCUCAACUGAGAGAGGCCACCUCAUACGGCAGAGCUCGAGCCCUGCAGAGGUCCACAGAAUUGCCGGUGUAGUGGUGAAAUGCGUAGAGAUCGGCAGGAACACCCAGGGGGAAACCAGUGGACUGGGCAGGCGCUGACACUCAUGUGCGAAAGCGUGGGGAGCGAACCGG